rnacentral:rRNA from 1 species
CCUAGGCUCACGGAGGCGAUGAAGGACGUGAUAAGCUGCGAUAAGCUUCGGGUAGGUGCAAAUAACCCUUGAUCCGGAGAUUUCCGAAUGGGACAACCUAGCCGUCUGAAGGACGGUUACUAGCACUUAAGUGUUAGAGCUAACGCAGGGAACUGAAACAUCUUAGUACCUGCAGGAAGAGAAAAUAAAUGAAUGAUUCCCCCAGUAGUGGCGAGCGAACGGGGAACAGCCCAAACCAGUGGCGUCGCAAGGCGUGGCUGGGGUUGUAGGACCGCAACAUUGUAUGCAAAUCGUGAACAGAACACUUUGGAAAAUGUGACCAUAGACGGUGAUAGUCCAGUAUGUGAAGCGAAAUGCAGCAUAGCGGUAUCCUGAGUAACGCGGGACACGAGGAAUCCUGCGCGAAUCUGCCGGGACCAUCCGGUAAGGCUAAAUACUCCCGUGAGACCGAUAGCGAACGAGUACUGUGAAGGAAAGGUGAAAAGAACCCCGAGCAGGGGAGUGAAAUAGUUCCUGAAACCAUACGCCUACAAGCGGUCGGAGCAUCUUACGAUGUGACGGCGUGCCUUUUGCAUAAUGAUCCUACGAGUUACCGUCACUGGCGAGGUUGAGUGUCAUGAGACACGUAGCCGCAGUGAAAGCGAGCCUGAAUAGGGCGCAUAGUCAGUGGGGGUAGACGCGAAACCAAGUGAUCUACACUUGGCCAGGAUGAAGUCCCGGUAACACGGGAUGGAGGUCCGCACCAAUAAGCGUUGAAAAGCUUCUGGAUGAGCCGAGUGUAGGAGUGAAAGGCCAAUCAAACUUGGAGAUAGCUCGUACUCCCCGAAAGGCAUUUAGGUGCCGCGUCGGAUGGUCACCGUGAGAGGUAGAGCGACCGAUAGGACAAGAGGGCUUCACCGCCUAUCGAGUCCUGACGAACUCCGAAUGCUCACGGUCUGCAGUCCGGCAGUAAGGGGGCGGGUGCUAAGGUCCGUCCCCGAGAGGAGAAGAAUCCAGACCGCCGUCUAAGGUCCCGGAGUUCUGCCUGAGUUAGUCUAACGAAGUCUGGUCCCUAUGACAGCUAGGAUGUUGGCUUGGAAGCAGCCAUUCAUUCAAAGAGUGCGUAACAGCUCACUAGUCGAGGGUCCGGGCAUGGAUAAUAAUCGGGUAUAAGGCAGACACCGAAGGCGCGGGAUAGCAUUUAAGAAAGUAUCGGUAGGGGAGCAUACUCACAGCGUGGAAUGGUGUACGUAAGUUAUCCUGGAGCGGUGAGUAAAGCAAAUGUAGGAAUAAGUAACGAUAAGGAGGGUUAGAUUCCCUCCCGCUGUAAGACCAAGGUUUCCCGGGCAAUGCCAAUCAGCCCGGGGUCAGUCGGGUCCUAAGUCUAAGCCGAACGGCGAUGGCGAUGGCAGAGACGGUUAAUAUUCCGUCACUGCCGCAUGGGGCGACGUGGAGACGGAGCAGUGAAACCACCGCGGGGCGACGGAAGUCCCCGUUGAAGAGUGUAGGUGUUGAGGAUGGCAGGCAAAUCCACCGUCCGAGCUGAACUUGAUAGUAUGGAGUCUUCUUCGGAAGAAUCCAAUAGUGUGGGUAAUCAUACUCCCGAGAAAAUCCGCUAAGCUUAACCCAUGCGGCACCCGUACCGCAAACGGACACACGUGGUCGGGUAGAACAUACUAAGGCGUUGAGAGAUUCAUGGUUAAGGAACUAGGCAAAUUGACCCUGUAACUUCGGGAUAAAGGGUCCUCGUGAUGAGCGAGGCGCAGAGAAUAGGUCCAGGCAACUGUUUAACAAAAACACAGGGCUGUGCAAACUCGAAAGAUGACGUAUACAGCCUGACACCUGCCCGGUGCCGGAAGGUUAAGAGGAGAUGUCACACUUAUGUGGAAGCAUUGAAUUGAAGCCCCGGUAAACGGCGGCCGUAACUAUAACGGUCCUAAGGUAGCGAAAUUCCUUGUCGGGU